ACUUUAGUCGCUCAGUUGGUAGAGCGAUGGACAAUAGAUCCAUUGGUCGCUGGUUCAAAUCCGGCCUAGAAGA
rnacentral:tRNA from 1 species